rnacentral:rRNA from 1 species
GAUGAACGCUGGCGGCGUGCCUAAUACAUGCAAGUCGAGCGAACAGAUGAGGAGCUUGCUCCUCUGACGUUAGCGGCGGACGGGUGAGUAACACGUGGAUAACCUACCUAUAAGACUGGGAUAACUUCGGGAAACCGGAGCUAAUACCGGAUAAUAUAUUGAACCGCAUGGUUCAAUAGUGAAAGACGGUUUUGCUGUCACUUAUAGAUGGAUCCGCGCCGCAUUAGCUAGUUGGUAAGGUAACGGCUUACCAAGGCAACGAUGCGUAGCCGACCUGAGAGGCUGAUCGCCCACACUGGAACUGAGACACGGUCCAGACUCCUACGGGAGGCAGCAGAAGGGAAUCUGCCGCAAUGGGCGAAAGCCUGACGGAGCAACGCCGCGUGAGUGAUGAAGGUCUUCGGAUCGUAAAACUCUGUUAUUAGGGAAGAACAAAUGUGUAAGUAACUAUGCACGUCUUGACGGUACCUAAUCAGAAAGCCACGGCUAACUACGUG